rnacentral:lncRNA from 1 species
CAAAUCAUAUAUCGUCAGAGAAUGAGUCAGGCCCACAUUUCAACUUGAUUUGAUUUACCGUCACCUGUGUUGCAAUGACUAUUAGUCUGUUGAAAUAAUGAAAGAAAGGGAAUAAGAACUUUUAAGGCCAGUGUGGGAAAGUACCAGUUAUAUAAGCAUCUUUGAAAUGCAGGAGGAAUAAAAAAAGAUGGUUAGAAGACUUAGAGAGCACUGGAAAUUAAACAUGUGAUGCCUCCUCUGAAAAAGGACUACAUUUGCCUUGAAGCCAGGGUGGACUCCCCUGAUAAAUCUGGUCUGAAUUAUUUCUUCAGAUUGACUCAGGACUGGUGGACACAAGUGGAAUUCCACUCAUGUUGGAUUCAGAUUAAUCUUUAGCAAUACACAGUACAGAACAUUGGAAAAAAACUCCAAAUUCAGAUCUGAACUGGUGUUUCUCAGCAGUCACCACUGAGGACUAAACUGAACACAAUGUUCCAAAUCCUCCUGACUAGUGGAAGGACUGAUACUCUCAUCUGCCUGAGGUGGUCAGGCUUUGAUCCAGGCUGUAACGCUAAUGAAGUAUGGAAGUUUAACAACUUCCCAUACAAAGCAUUUUGUGAGCACAAAUUAGAAAAUGGUGUAUUAGGUGGUUUUCCGGAAUGCAUAAUAAAUACCUAUUUUCCUAAUUCCCUGCUUAGCAAAAAAUCUGCCUUCACCCCACCAGCCCCAGCCAUGCCAGCACCCUCCCCAUGUGCUGGUUUUGUGUUUUGCCGACUGAACCUGGAACUGAAAGCUGUGUCUACUGGCACUCUAUUUUGCUGGGUGUUUUUGCUGUGGAUACACUCUGAACUGCUGGAAUACCUGCUGCUCUUGAGCACAUAUAACAAGGAAGAAAAUGGAGGUCCUGAGAUGAAAGGGGAUCUGGCCACACCUGCACAGCUGCUGUAGUCACGUCAUUAGUGAGACCACAGAUAAAGAGCCAAGGUUGGAUCAAAACACUCACUAUACUUUGGACUGCUUUAGUACAAAUUUGGAAGCUGUUCAUUGUAAUACAAUGAAAAGAAUACAGUGGGACCCUGAAGAAUAUUACUUAUAGAGGUGAGUGAGUGCUCAGGUGCUUAGACCUCCAAGAACAAAAGCAUGCUCUUCUCAUAGAAGUGGUAGGAUCCAGUAUUAAAUCACUCUAAAGUACGCUCAUAAGUAUCAGUCACAUGGUCUGAUCCCCUCCUCCUACCUCCCAGCCAACUUUUCUUUAGCAAAUCAUAAAAUGCUGGGAAGGCAUACAACCACACAAAACUUCAUCUCAGUUUCUCUGUUAUAAAGACAAUCAGAUUUUCCUUGUGAUUUCUUCUUAGAUUACUAAGGCAGAAAUUAGCAAUUAAAUGAAGAAUUCCUAUAUUGUAACUAAAACAGUCUUACUACAUCCUGACUUAAAUCACAUGAAUGUGUUUAGGGUGUGAGAGAAGUGCCUUACAACUUCUUUAAAAAAUCUCAUUUACAUAUGACAUAACAUCAAGGCAUACUAGGAGUUAACAUGACAUUAAUUCUAUGGAAGAGAUAGGAGUUGACUGUUUAAUAGUUUCUGUUUAAUGCUAGGCCACACAGACAAAUCCUUCUGUGAAUUAUCUAGAGAGCUGUUAGGGAAGGAUAGAUAUUAAUUGGUAUGAUGCAAAGCGGGAGGGACAUGUAAGAAAGGGAAAAUGAAAGGGGAGUACAGAAAACCACAGAUGUAACUAUCUAGUUGAUCUGAACAUUAUUUUGGACUACUCAUCAUUGCAAAAUCUUACUUCAUCAUUUGAAACAUGUUUGGGAGCACUAUUGAUUUUUUGGGAAAAGGAUCAUUAGUCUUUUAUUAUAAACUCUUGAUUUAUACUACUCUUGGUUCAUUGGUUCCUGGGGGAGAAUGUUGAAUUGAUUGGUUGAGCUCUAGCUUUUGGGUGGUUUUAUUUUAUUUAUUUUUUUUACAUUCUUUGCUCUUUUUUUUUCUUUUUUCUUUUUCUUUUUCUUUUCCAUGUCUUGUUUGUCUGAUGUGAUCAAUGCAGGGAUUUUGAAAGCUUCUAUUCAAAAGUGUCUCAAUGUUUUCUAGCUUUUAUUUGUACCAUUUAAAGAAAAAAUGUUUCUAUCUACGGUCAAUACUUUAUUUAAGAAGUUGAGUCUCUGUCUUCCAAACAUGUUUAUGAUUGGCCAGAUCCUAACCUCUGCAAAGGAGUAACUCCAUGUUUAAAACAAUGUAAAUGUGUCCUGAUUACCUAAUUGCAGAAAGGAUUCGACACAGUGUCAGCAAUUUAGGUCAGACCAGAGCCUCAGCGUCAUGCAAUUUAUCUUCCCUCUUUAGAGAACUGUUAAAAAGUAAUAAUAAUAAUUUAAAAAAAAUGAUAUUUUAUCCAAAGCAAUUCUGAAUAUGAUAGAAAUACAAAAGAACUUACUUUUGCUGGUAGCAUAUUUUUCACCCCCAACAUAAAUUCUCCCUUUAAGAUUGUUAACAACUGUUCUAAGUAGGGAAGAAAAGUCCAUCCCCCAUUGGAGAAUCUUACUACCCUGUACUUUAUAAACAUGAAUAAAUUUAUAUCACUGCUUAAAAAAGGCA